GCUGCUAUAGGCCUAGACUAUCGGGGGAUUUCCCAUGGUGCACUGAGCUACUCUCUUCCUCUCUCUUUCUGCACUCAUUCAUGUCCCUUUAAUGCAUGUUACUAACUCCACUUCUUCCCCGGAGUUCUUGUGCUUUCUCGUCUCGCAGGUUCUCAUGGAUCCUGGUGGAGCCUCCUGCCAUGGUCCAGCUUGACUGCCAUUGCCAAUACUGUUGUUGCUGUGCACCUGUCUGUCUGUCUGUCGCUCUCUCUCUCUCUCUCUCUCACCCCAACUGGUCGAGACAGACGACCACCCACCUAGAGCCGGAGGAUCUGUCCUAGGUUUCUGCCUUUUAACAGGCAGUUUUUCCUUGCCCUUGUCGCCAAGUGCUUGCUCAUGGUGGUACUGUUGGGUCUCUGUAAUUAAUGUUAAAGAGUUCGGUCUAGACCUGCUCUAUUUGAAAAGUGUCCUGAGAUAACUUCUGUUAUGAGUUGGCGCUAUACAAAUAAAAUUGAAUUGAAUUGAA